AACAAAGUAAAAUAAUUAUUUUUCUUUCUUUUUUCACAGAUUAAUUGAUAUUGAUAUUAAUUCUUACAGAGGAUUAACUUUUCGGUGGACAGGUAACUGGUCAAGGUGAUUCGGAUUCUAAAUUGUUUAUAGUUCAAAGUUAUAUAACCAAUAACAAUUAUAAUAAUUUCUGGACAAAGUAAUCGAUCAUCUGAAUCCAUUUUUUUUAUCAAUUACGAUGGUCAGUUGAUACAAUUUUUCCGAUUGCUCGUCAGCCAUUCAAAUGAAUAUUUGGAUUCAAUAUAAUCACGAUGAUUACUAAAUGAUCUUCAAAUUUAACCACCUUAAUUGAUUAACUGAGAAAGCAGAACAAAAAAAAUCACUGUUAUAAAAAGGAUGGUGAUUAAAUUAUCACUCAAUGGUGGUGAUUGUCGAUACGCUUGUAACCUUGUAUAAUCUGUUGGCUACCAAAUCGUUGAUUGAUUGUUGUGACCAUGUUAUUGCACUCGUCCGACCUGAAGAGACCAUCAUUUAUCAUCUAUUAUUAAAUCAAUUGAAUCAAUUGUGUUUAAAUUGAUAAACGAUUGAUUGAACAUCGGCCUUUGAUACCGGGAUAUAAAUAUUGGUAUUGGUCAUUACAAUGACCCUUUAGAUGGAUAUUUACAAUCAAUAAGGUGAUGCUAAUGGUUAAUUAUCUUUUAAAAUGUUUUCCAAAAAGAUGAUGGUGAUGAUGAUUUCACCAGAAUAAAAAACGAUAAACACUCAGGUGAAAAUGGCGAGAAACAAAAAAUUCUAAUUGACCUUUAAUCGUAUCGUGGUCAUCGUUACAUUUUUCCCUUUAGAUUAACUUUGAUGGUAUUAUAACAAUCAAACAUCAUUUUACCUGAAUGAUGAUCAGAAACAGUUCAUGAAAAUUUAAUUUAUUGUUUUCUUUUUAAUCUUAUAUUUCUUUUUCAACAAUCAACACAAUUAAGGAACUGUUGAUGAAUCCAGUUGAUUAAUGGGUAACAGAUUAAUCAUUUCAAAUUAUUGGAAUCAAAUUAGUUUUCUUAUUCGCUUAAAGCAACUAAUUACUUUCGAUUAGCAAAUACAAAUAUCAAGGUGCUAAAUUGUCGACGUUUUUUCAGGGUGACAAUUAAUCAACAAUCUAAAUUAUUCAUUAAAACACCAAGAAAAAUCAAUCUCGGUCAAUCGGUCUCAUCAUUUCCAGUUAGUUAAUUGUCGAGGUCAGUUUUUUAUAAAUCAAUCAUCUGGACGCGUUAAUCAUUAUCAUAUUUAUGCCAAUCAAAUGAUUUUGCUUUAAGAUGAAGGUUAAUCUUGUUGGUGGAAGAGCAAUUUUUGGUUGAUUGUUGGAUUGUUAAUCACGGGAAACACCAGGAAAAGGAAAUCAAACUUAAUCAGAUUUGUGAACAAUUAAGUGUGAAACAAUCAACAAGGGAAAAUAAACUACAAUCAUAAUCAAA